AACGCAUCUUGCGCUCCUUGGUAUUCCGAGGAGCAUGCCUGUUUGAGUGUCAUUUGAACCUUCUCAAGCCCCCCCUCCCCCUAGAGCGGUGGCUUGGAAAUGGGGGAAGUUUGCAGGAUUGCAAAGUCCUGCUCCCCUGAAACGCAUCAGCGGCGUCUUGGCAGACGACCCAGGGUGUGAUACAAACAUCAGCGCCAUGGGGCUGCGGAUUUGCCGCUGCUUUUCCAAUCUUUUGACCAACUUGACCUCAAAUCAGGUAGGACUACCCGCUGAACUUAA
rnacentral:misc_RNA from 1 species